CUGGAAACAGCCACUCGUGGCGGCGUUGGUACACCGAAUAUCCCUGCACAAACCUCAACGGCACAACGGCAUUAUCAGACGACCGAAGUUCUUCCUGCUCCAAAGGUAACCUAUCGUCAGCUACCUGGCCCGGAGUGGAGCGGACCUGUGCCACUAAUCACCUGGGGGCGCGGUUACGCAGCUGUAUCAACACCAAGCGGCCCGCUCUGGGUACCUGCACGAUACGUUCGACCACACAAGGAUGGCGUGGCAUCAGGGACUGAGCAACCCCAUCCCUGAC